rnacentral:rRNA from 1 species
UACGAAGGGGGCGAGCGUUGUUCGGAAUCACUGGGCGUAAAGGGCGCGUAGGCGGCCUGGUUUGUCGCGUGUGAAAGCCCCGGGCUCAACCUGGGAGGUGCGCGCGAGACGGCCGGGCUGGAGUUCGGGAGAGGAGCGUGGAAUUCCCAGUGUAGAGGUGAAAUUCGUAGAUAUUGGGAAGAACACCGGUGGCGAAGGCGGCGCUCUGGACCGAGACUGACGCUGAGGCGCGAAAGCGUGGGGAGCAAACAGG